CUACUCUAGUUAAAGUCAAAAUAAGUCUGAAAGGCAACUGCUUUCACCUUUCUCAUCAGGCUGUAUCCAUACGCACACACUGUCUAUGCUGAUGCUGUUUC